AUGCUCAUUUCAGCAGCACGUAUACUAAAGUCAGAACAAUACAGAGAAGAUUCUCAUGGCCCCUGCACAAGGAUGAACACACACACUCCGUAUUUUU
ensembl:snRNA U6 U6 spliceosomal RNA